rnacentral:misc_RNA from 1 species
GGUUGGAUCAUUACAAAUUGUUCAAUUAUUCUCAUAUUGCUUGGUUUGGAGGAGAAAAUUUUUUUCUCCUUCAGUCAAGUCAAUUUAUGAGAAAAACACUUUGUGAACAAGUAAUUGUUUUUUGGUGGUUUUUAUAAGCCUUUAACUUUUUAAAGGUUUUUGCUCUAGUUUUUUUGCUGGAGUGAGGCCACCAAAGGAUCUUUCCACUGUUUUUUUUUUUCAAAAGGCAGUUUGGUUUAAGGUCUCUUAAACAAACUUAUUAUUUAUUAUUUUCUUUUAAAAAUAUAUAAAAGCUAAUAAAAAACAACUUUUAACAACGGAUCUCUUGGCUCUCGCAACGAUGAAGAACGCAGCGAAAUGCGAUAAGUAAUGUGAAUUGCAGAACUUCGUGAAUCAUCAAAUCUUUGAACGCACAUUGCGCUCUAUGGAAACGUAGAGCAUGCCUGUUUGAGUAUCACUUUAAUCAUCUCACGAAACUCAAUUUUUUUAUUGAGUUUAGUGGAAUUGAUAGUCUUGGGUCCCUUUUUGAUCCCAGUCUUUCGAAAAUGAUUUAAAAUGUUUCAGUUGAUUUUUCUACCCCUUGGAGGGUAAGAAUAUAUUAACUGGACCCAAUCACACUGAUUGUUUUCAGCUUGGUGAUUGGUGUUUAGGGGGAUUUAUUAUAUUAGUCUUCAAGUGCGCUCCCUUUCAAGCGAACUUUGAAUGCUGUGGCAUUAUCAGUUUACUUGAAUUUUUGGUAGGCUAAAAUUGACUAAGUUAUUUUAAGUCUUUCCCACUAUUAAACUUUGGUCUCAAAUCAGGCAAGAAUACCCGCUGAACUUAAGCAUAUUAAUAAGCGGAGGAAAAGAAACUAACAAGGAUUCCCCUAGUAACGGCGAGUGAAGCGGGAACAGCUCAAAUUUAAAAUCUCCUUCGGGCGAAUUGUAGUUUAGAGAAAGUGUUUUCUAGGGUAGCUUAGGCAUAGGUCCUUUGGAAAGAGGCGUCAUAGAGGGUGAGAACCCCGUCUGUGGCCUAAAGCCUACUCUUUUGUGAUACACUUUCAAAGAGUCGAGUUGUUUGGGAAUGCAGCUCAAAAUGGGUGGUAAAUACCAUCUAAAGCUAAAUAUUGGCGAGAGACCGAUAGCGAACAAGUACCGUGAGGGAAAGAUGAAAAGAACUUUGAAAAGAGAGUUAAACAGUACGUGAAAUUGUUAAAAGGGAAACGCUUGAAAUCAGUGUUGCAACCAGUAAUCAGCCACCCAUAGGGUGGUGCACUUGCUGGAAGCAGGUCAGCAUCAGUUUGCUGCGAAGUAAAAAGCUGCGAAGUGGCCUUUGGGUCAAAUUGCUGUCAUGCUUUGUGGCAGACUGAGGACUGCUUUUACAGGAUGCUGACGAAAUGGUUUUAAACGACCCGUCUUGAAACACGGACCAAGGAGUCUAACAAAUAUGCGAGUAUUCGGGUGGCAAACCCUUAUGCGCAAUGAAAGUGAAAAUGGUGGGAUCUUCGGUGCACCAUCGACCGGUCUGGAUUUUUUUGAUAGAUCUGAGUAAGAGCAUAUAUGUUAGGACCCGAAAGAUGGUGGACUAUGCCUGAAUAGGGUGAAGCCAGAGGAAACUCUGGUGGAGGCUCGUAGCGAUUCUGACGUGCAAAUCGAUCGUCAAAUUUGGGUAUAGGGGCGAAAGACUAAUCGAACCAUCUAGUAGCUGGUUCCCUC